AUUGAACGCUGGCGGCAGGCCUAACACAUGCAAGUCGAGCGAGUGGCGGACGGGUGAGUAAUGUAUGGGGAACUGCCCGAUAGAGGGGGAUAACUACUGGAAACGGUGGCUAAUACCGCAUACCAUCGGAUGUACCCAUAUGGGAUUAGCUAGUUGGUGGGGUAAAGGCUCACCAAGGCGACGAUCCCUAGCUGGUCUGAGAGGAGGAGCAGCCACACUGGAACUGAGACACGGUCCAGACUCCUACGGGAGGCAGCAGUGGGGAAUAUUGCACAAUGGGCGCAAGCCUGAUGCAGCCAUGCCGCGUGUAUGAAGAAGGCCUUCGGGUUGUAAAGUACUUUCAGCGGGGAGGCGUUACCCGCAGAAGAAGCACCGGCUAACUCCGUGCCAGCAGCCGCGGUAAUUC
rnacentral:rRNA from 1 species